UGAAAAUAUUCAGUCUCGGUUCUGAUUUGUUCGAAACAACACCUAAAUUUUCCGUCUGUUUAGUAUACAAUAUUUGUUGUUUUAUUUUCUCAACGCGGGGGAAAAUGUAACAAAAGAAUGUGUGUAUAUUGUAAGCACUCACCCAGCGGAUGAUGUUGCUGCUGCUGGGGCUGCUGCUGUGGCUGUGGAUCUGUCCUGGUCGCCGCAUCAUUUGUGACUGUUCAGAACGAUUUAUGCUAAUAACCGCCUCUGCCAAGGUGACUGGAUGGAUGAGCAACGCCACAACAGCCAGCCCAGGUAGCGACUUGACUCAGAAAUUCGUGGCAUGGCGGCGGCUCGGGUCUCUGAAGUUAUUUUCUCACGCACGGCUCGCAAUAUGCAGCCCUGACAACUUAAGUGUUUUUGGGCCUGGCUGUGGAAUCGGGGAAAACUACGGAGUCGCCAAGUGCCCGGACAACGGGUAAAUUGAGGUGUCACGUACAGCAAUUAGAUUUUAAAGUCUCAACCGUAAUUAGAGGCAAACAAGGACAAGUGCUGGAAAACGUUUCAUCGCAACGCAGACACUGGGCAAGUGCUUCAAAACUCGGGGCCGCAGUCCCAUCGAAGACGGAAAGCCGACUGCUAUGACACAUUUAUUUAAAUUUAAAAUUUAGAAUCUGGUUUUUUCUUGGGGAACUUUGUAUUUACUUAUCCAUUUUACCCAUUUUCCUGUAAACACAUUUAAUAAAACCACCCCAAUCGAAUUA
rnacentral:sRNA from 1 species